rnacentral:lncRNA from 1 species
GAGCUUAAAAAUAAAAAAUUCAUCCUCGCUGGAAGUUUUUUUAUUCAAGUAGUCAAUUUGUUCUCUCUUUCUCUUGGCUCACAAUCAACUUUCUUUUUCCUCACAUUAUAUUGUCUCUUCAUUUUUACCUCAACUUUUAGCCUUAAAACUAAUUAUUAGCCUCAAUUUUUUAUUCAUAUUAUGUAUAAAUGGAUACAUAUAAAUAUAAAUAUUUAAAAGAUGGAAUUAUCAAUUAAUAUUAAGUUGGUGAAUUGGUGGCAUAGAGAUGCAAUUCGCAAUUCAAUGUGUAUUAUUCCAAAAUGUCAAAUCUUGUAUAAAAUAAACUGUUAUUAAGAUACUGAUAACUUUUAUAACUUUGUAACUUAAUUUACUUAUUUAUGUAUCUAUCAUUU